UGCAAAGGAUGCUUUCCUUCCUUCCCUCCCUGAUGAGCGAUACUUCGAUAUCGCCAGGAGAUAAUAAAUAAACACAUAAGUACAGUAUUAGUAUUACUCCGUACUUACGCGUGAAGAUGGAUAGCGAUGAUGCGUUGGCUCGUGUGUCAAUUAGGCUCGAUCGAGUUUGAUCGUUAACUUUGUUUUGGCGUGCGAAAAAUGGAGAUAUACUGUGGAAUUAGCUGCCAGGCCGGAGGGGAGAAAUCAUCGUGAUGAAGUACUUAUAUAUUUUUCACCUGGAGGUAUGUUUUAUUUGCUCUUUGUCAGGAAAUCUAAAUUACUUGUCGUUUACGCCGGUGUGAAGGGUUCUGAGAUUUGAAUGUUUGUCAAGUAGUAUAAUUUAUGCCGCUAUCAUGCAUGGAAGGUUCUGGUGAUUUUUACAUGCUUGUCAAGCUGGCAGAUACUGCACGCCUUUUCCCCCCCUGAUUUGCAUGUAGUAUUGUUUCGGUGUUCUCAAUUUAUUUCCGAUUUUCAGAGCGAUACGGCGUCUUAUAUUUACGUACUUUCUCUGGUAAAAAAACCAACUUAGUUUAGGAAGGGACGUGACUCCUCCUAGCUAGUAUUGUUUUGGUGUUCUCAAUUUUUUUCCUUGAUUUUCAGCGUGGCACAGUGUCUUGUAUAUACCUUCUCCCUCCGUUAAAAAAAGCCAACAUAGCUAGGAGGGGAUGUGACCCCUCCUAUUAUUGUUUUGGUGUUCUCAUUUUUCCCUUGAUUUUCAGCGCGGCACGGUGUCUAUAUACAUACUCCCUUUAUCAAAAAAAAAAAAAGCCAACGUAGUUAAGAGGGGAUAUGACCCCUCCUAGUAUUGUUUUGGUGUUCUCAAUUUUUUCUCCUGAUUUUUAGUGUGGCACGGCAUCUUGUAUAUACGUAUUGCCUCCGUCCAAAAAAAAGCCAACAUAGCUUAACUACGUAUUGACAUCUUGUCUCAAUUUUUUCUCCUGAUUUUUAGGACGUGACCCCUCCUAGUAUUGUUUUGGUGUUCUCAAUUUUUUCCUUGAUUUUUAGCGCGGCACGGCGUCUUGUAUAUACAUACUCCCUCAGUGAAAAAAAAAGGUUAUACUAGAAGGUCUCGCAUGCUCUACUUGGAUAAAUAUCAUAUUAACCAGCUGUAUGCACUUCACGGUGCAGAGAAGGCGACAUGCAAGAUCUUUUGUCAUUGUCUCAAAGCAUAUUCGAUCGUUCACUCGUUCUUCAAUUACUUUUUAAUAUAUAGUAACAAAUUAACUAACAAUCUAUCCUCUUUAUUUUUGCAGAUAUGUAUCGGCGCGCAUUAUUAACGAUUAACGUGGGUUGUGGUUCAAAACCGGAUGCCGCCGUUGGUGAUAUAUAUUUGGAUACACAAGACAGUCGGCCAUAUAUAUCGUCUUUAGGCCACACAUAUAUUAUAUGUAUCCCAGUAGCAAAAACAUAUUUUUCCUUUUUGCAAAUUACAAGCUAGCAUGCAUGUAACAAAUUCUUUUUUUAAUAGAUAAAAAUUCAUUCUCGCAUUUGUUUUUCCCAUGUCAUCGUCAUUAAGAUUACAAAACAUUUUAGUGAAUAAAAAAAGAGGAACCGCUGCUGACUGCA